rnacentral:rRNA from 1 species
CAACAGCUAGAGUUUGAUCCUGGCUCAGGAUGAACGCUGGCGGCGUGCUUAACACAUGCAAGUCGAAUGUAGUUUACUACAUGGCGGACGGGUGAGUAACGCGUGAGCAAUCUGCCCAUAUCUGGGGGAUAACAGUUGGAAACGACUGAUAAUACCGCAUGAUAUCGUUUGAAGGCAUCUUCUUACGAUCAAAGAUUUAUCGGAUAUGGAUGAGCUCGCGUCUGAUUAGCUAGUUGGUGAGGUAACGGCCCACCAAGGCGACGAUCAGUAGCCGACCUGAGAGGGUGAUCGGCCACAUUGGAACUGAGACACGGUCCAAACUCCUACGGGAGGCAGCAGUGGGGAAUAUUGGGCAAUGGAGGAAACUCUGACCCAGCAACGCCGCGUGAAUGAUGAAGGUCUUCGGAUUGUAAAGUUCUUUUCUAAGGGACGAAGAAAGUGACGGUACCUUAGGAAUAAGCCUCGGCUAACUACGUGCCAGCAGCCGCGGUAA